AGGCUUAACACAUGCAAGUCGAGGGGCAUCAGGAAGAAAGCUUGCUUUCUUUGCUGGCGACCGGCGCACGGGUGAGUAACACGUAUCCAACCUGCCCUUUACUCGGGGAUAGCCUUUCGAAAGAAAGAUUAAUACCCGAUGGCAUAAUGAUUCCGCAUGGUUUCAUUAUUAAAGGAUUCCGGUAAAGGAUGGGGAUGCGUUCCAUUAGGUUGUUGGUGAGGUAACGGCUCACCAAGCCUUCGAUGGAUAGGGGUUCUGAGAGGAAGGUCCCCCACAUUGGAACUGAGACACGGUCCAAACUCCUACGGGAGGCAGCAGUGAGGAAUAUUGGUCAAUGGGCGCUAGCCUGAACCAGCCAAGUAGCGUGAAGGAUGAAGGCUCUAUGGGUCGUAAACUUCUUUUAUAUAAGAAUAAAGUGCAGUAUGUAUACUGUUUUGUAUGUAUUAUAUGAAUAAGGAUCGGCUAACUCCGUGCCAGCAGCCGCGGUAAUACGGAGGAUCCGAGCGUUAUCCGGAUUUAUUGGGUUUAAAGGGAGCGUAGGUGGACUGGUAAGUCAGUUGUGAAAGUUUGCGGCUCAACCGUAAAAUUGCAGUUGAUACUGUCAGUCUUGAGUACAGUAGAGGUGGGCGGAAUUCGUGGUGUAGCGGUGAAAUGCUUAGAUAUCACGAAGAACUCCGAUUGCGAAGGCAGCUCACUGGACUGCAACUGACACUGAUGCUCGAAAGUGUGGGUAUCAAACAGGAUUAGAUACCCUGGUAGUCCACACAGUAAACGAUGAAUACUCGCUGUUUGCGAUAUACAGUAAGCGGCCAAGCGAAAGCAUUAAGUAUUCCACCUGGGGAGUACGCCGGCAACGGUGAAACUCAAAGGAAUUGACGGGGGCCCGCACAAGCGGAGGAACAUGUGGUUUAAUUCGAUGAUACGCGAGGAACCUUACCCGGGCUUAAAUUGCAGUGGAAUGAUGUGGAAACAUGUCAGUGAGCAAUCACCGCUGUGAAGGUGCUGCAUGGUUGUCGUCAGCUCGUGCCGUGAGGUGUCGGCUUAAGUGCCAUAACGAGCGCAACCCUUAUCUUUAGUUACUAACAGGUUAUGCUGAGGACUCUAGAGAGACUGCCGUCGUAAGAUGUGAGGAAGGUGGGGAUGACGUCAAAUCAGCACGGCCCUUACGUCCGGGGCUACACACGUGUUACAAUGGGGGGUACAGAAGGCAGCUAGCGGGUGACCGUAUGCUAAUCCCAAAAGCCUCUCUCAGUUCGGAUUGGAGUCUGCAACCCGACUCCAUGAAGCUGGAUUCGCUAGUAAUCGCGCAUCAGCCACGGCGCGGUGAAUACGUUCCCGGGCCUUGUACACACCGCCCGUCAAGCCAUGAAAGCCGGGGGUACCUGAAGUGCGUAACCGCAAGGAGCGCCCUAGGGUAAAACUGGUGAUUGGGGCUAAAU
rnacentral:rRNA from 1 species